rnacentral:tmRNA from 1 species
GGGGCUGACCGGAAUUGACAGCUUGUGCAAGUCACGAGUAAGCGUGUCGGGAGUUGAGUGAAUCUCCCGCCAAAAAAUCAUUCGAAAAACAACCGGCGAGUAUAGCUACGCCAUGGCUGCUUAGUCUAGGUACUAAGUAAUGUCAUCGUCCCGCAUCCGUCUUCUUUUACACGGGUGAGUUCGGGGCGUCGUAAGUAGAAGAUAGUGCCGAAGGAGGUGUGACUUCGGUGCGAAACUCAACUGCAUCUAAGGGAGACCAAGGGCCUGAUGUGCGCCUGGGCUUCCUCGAAAAUUCAAGCAUAGAUACACACGUAGAAAGCUCGAUGGUUUCCUUGUCUGGACCAGGGUUCGAAUCCCUGCAGCUCCACAG